GGGCGCCUUCCCCGUCCCGCCGAUGCUGACACAGCGAGGAGGGAGACAGUGGAGGAAGGGGCUUGUAAAUUGGGGCUCCUCUUAAGACGCUCUCAGGGAGGAAACGGGGGUGUCACGGCCUCUGGAGGGGGCACCCGCGAAGCGUGGAGGGGACCCCGCAAAUUGCUCCCAGCAUCAGGAAAACGGGCUAUUUCUAGGGCCGCUGCUGUAUACUCUAGCGCGAGGUUUAUUACGAAGGGCCAGUUUAUAGCUUCCGCUAAAAAUAAGGGAAGCCGUGGGACAGAUGUCCAGAGAAACGUUAGACUAUUUCUGUUCUGACAGACGCAACGAGGCUCAUGGAGAGGCAGGAGUUUGUUUGCCUCUCUUAUUUUUGUUCCUUCAAGACUAAUCCGUGCGGAGCAGGCACGGAGAAAAUCACAGAGGCGGGCUCGGGAGUCGAGCACCGCGGGGUUUGACACUGCUCUUGUCAAACGGGAAAAGGAAAAGUGCACAGGGAGAAAGUUUCUCUUCCCUUAAUUUAGAAGAGUUUGCACCUCUUCCAAGCAAAGGGUUGCACAGAGGCUGUCUCCCUCCCUGGCGUUUCCAAUUAACGGGAGAAAAAUGCUAACGCGGACCCCUGAUGAGGGGGCAAGCAGGGGCAGCAUAUUUACGGCAACUUUUAAAGAUAACGCUGCAAAGGGGGGAGAAUAACAUCGGUGACAAUCAGGCUGCGGAGAAAGAUGCUCGCUUGCAGAAGGAAGAACUGCGCUAAAAAUCCUUCAGGAUGGGGCCAGAGGGGCCUGAGGACAUGAGGAAGGAGACCUGUUCCUGCAGAUCCCAAGCCCCUUGGGCUGUGUUGGUGCUGCUCCUCUCUGCCUGCGGGAGCCGGGGGUCCCCUCGGAGCGGUCGGGGGGCACGCCUUUCCUUGGCACUUCCCGGUGCGUGGCGCUGUCCCUGGACGGUGUGGCCCCAGGCUGUCCGGCACAGCAGCCCCGCUUUCCCCUCCCGAGUGCCCGGUAGAGUUUUUCGGGCAUAUUCCAGAUGAAGGAUUGUAUGAGAGCAAGGCACGGGAGCAACAUAAACCGCCGCACGGGACAAGAGGUUUUCCUGCCUCCUCCUAGUUUUGCAUAUGUGGGAAACAGAAUUAAUUAUUGGGAGGCCUUUUUGCGCCGGUUCAUGAUCUGAACCCCUUCUGCGAACGACCGCUUUGGGUUCAUACCCGCAGAGAUGAACAGCCUGGCUUUCCAGAGCCAGGUGUUGACGGGCUUCUUAGAGAGAAGCUUACCAAUAAAGCUAAAUCUCACCGAGCGCUGUCUUUAGAA
rnacentral:lncRNA from 1 species